GUAGGGGGCAAGCGUUGUCCGGAUUUAUUGGGCGUAAAGAGCUCGUAGGCGGCUUAGCAAGUCGGGUGUGAAAACUUCAGGCUCAACCUGGAGAUGGCACUCGAUACUGCUAUGGCUAGAGUCCGGUAGGGGACCACGGAAUUCCUGGUGUAGCGGUGAAAUGCGCAGAUAUCAGGAGGAACACCGGUGGCGAAGGCGGUGGUCUGGGCCGGCACUGACGCUGAGGAGCGAAAGCGUGGGGAGCAAACAGGAUUAGAUACCCUGGUAGUCCACGCCGUAAACGUUGGGCACUAGGUGUGGGGCCUUAUCAACGGGUUCCGUGCCGCAGCUAACGCAUUAAGUGCCCCGCCUGGGGAGUACGGCCGCAAGGCUA
rnacentral:rRNA from 1 species